GACGAACGCUGGCGGCGUGCUUAACACAUGCAAGUCGAACGGUGAAGCGCUUUCCUUUUUGGUUGGUGUGGAUGAGUGGCGAACGGGUGAGUAACACGUGAGUAACCUGCCCCCUUCUUCUGGAUAACCGCAUGAAAGUGUGGCUAAUACGGGAUAUUCUGCGCCUGCUGCAUGGUGGGUGUGGGAAAGAUUGUGCCUUUGGGUGUUUUCGGUGGGGGAUGGGCUCGCGGCCUAUCAGCUUGUUGGUGGGGUGAUGGCCUACCAAGGCGGUGACGGGUAGCCGGCCUGAGAGGGUGGACGGUCACACGGGGACUGAGACACGGCCCAGACUCCUACGGGAGGCAGCAGUGGGGAAUAUUGCACAAUGGGCGCAAGCCUGAUGCAGCGACGCCGCGUGAGGGAUGGAGGCCUUCGGGUUGUGAACCUCUUUCGCCAGUGAAGCAGGCCUGCUCCUUGUGGGUGGGUUGACGGUAGCUGGAUAAGAAGCGCCGGCUAACUACGUG
rnacentral:rRNA from 1 species